rnacentral:rRNA from 1 species
AUCUUGGACAAUGGGCGAAAGCCUGAUCCAGCCAUGCCGCGUGGAUGAUGAAGGCCCUAGGGUUGUAAAAUCCUUUCGUUGGGGACGAUAAUGACGGUACCCAAAGAAGAAGCUCCGGCUAACUUCGUGCCAGCAGCCGCGGUAAUACGAAGGGGGCUAGCGUUGUUCGGAUUUACUGGGCGUAAAGCGCGUGUAGGCGGGUCGGUAAGUUGGGGGUGAAAUCCCCGGGCUCAACCUGGGAAUGGCAUUCGGGACUGCAAGGCUGGAGUGCGGCAGAGGAGACUGGAAUUCCUGGUGUAGCAGUGAAAUGCGUAGAUAUCAGGAGGAAUACCGAUGGCGAAGGCAGGUCUCUGGGCUGACACUGACGCUCAUGCACGAAAGCGUGGGGAGCAAACAGG